CGUUGCGAUCCCAAGGUUCACUGCGGUUUUCCACAAGUCUGUUUCUGCCUAUCACCAUGAGUGAUUCAGAACUCCAAGAGCAACUUAAGGACCUUGAUACUCAGAUUGAUCAUCAGGAUCUCAAUUAUAAGCUCAAGUCUUGAUGACAACUUGGUGAUCUGCAGGAAGCACCGCCAUGUAAGGAAGGCCAAGACCACUCUGGAAUCAGUCAAGGCUCAAAGGAACUCGAAUUUUCCCAACUGUGAGAGGGCCUUGCUCCAGUGACUGUUGGUGAAAUGGAGUGAGGCAUACAAGGAUAUGUGUGGUUUUACUCUUGGGAAAGAGGUUGAACAGUGCAAUAUUUCUUCUAUAGGAUUGCAGUGACCAGACAUGCUACUGUAACUAUCAUGGUCAUGUGCUGGAAUUAGCAGAUGUUCAACAAUUUGGCCAUCUUGCUGACCUGUUGAUAUCAGAAGACCACAACAGCUCUGCAAAGCAAGUUGCAAAACAGAAUCCAUGGAACUGGCAGUGACCGGAAACCAGUUGGAAGACUUUGGUCUGUGAUGUAGAGGAGUGGUCAGCAGAAGCAAAGAAAACAAAAAAACAGAAGUGAUGUGGAUGUCUUUGUCAUAUGGCAUGCAACAAAGAGGAGGGUGUUCAACAUCAUCCUGCUUGUAAGGAUUCUUCAGGAGAAUCAGAGGAUUAUUGUGGCAGAGAUGGCCAACCACUAUAAAUACCUUUCAACUCAUCCUGGUUCCUUCAAAGAACUUUCCUGCUUGUUUGCUACUGAAAAAUUCGACAUGUGGCCUAAACGAAGAGGGGUUGAAAGGUUUCUUGAUCAUCCUUCUCAGAAAGCAACAAAAUAACUGCAAAAUAAACAACAAUACAAGAGUGCAAGCUAGAGACCUGCAAGGUAUCUGCACGUUUUGGCUGGAGCAGAGAACAUACAUUUUUUUUAAAUAAAGCUCCAGCUGAUGAGUAUGACAUUGAC